UCUUAAAUAAAAAUUAGCAGCUAAAAAUAAAUCCCUCGACAACCAUAUCAAAAAUGCGCCGAAUAAGCAUUUCUUAACGCGCGCACGUGGACAAACAUACGCACACACCAGGUGCUUCGUUUACAGCUGAGCUAAAAAUGUGAUGACUCAACAAAUUGGGGAAACACGGGUGGAUAUCAGCGCUAAAAAGCCACUGCCAAAUGCUAUAAAAGCACUGCGUCUCUGUUAUUCGAACAUCGAAGGAUUGCGCUGCUCAAGCUGUUUCAUCAUCAACAAGAACCAAGAUGGCUCAUGUUUGCCACCAACCUACAGACCCAACAAAUUCAUUUGUGGAAAUCGUUCAGAUUGGAAGAAACUUCGUGCAUCAUAAAGAUGUGACGCUUUACUAUAACUCUGGUCAUGGAAGAGGAGAAUUUACAGCACACGGAGGAAAUAUAAGUCAUAUCGAACGCCACGGCAGAGAUCGAAGACUAACAAUUGAAACCAGAAGCGGACACAAAUUUGAUAUCACUCGCCAUAGAGGAGGAGGCUACCAUUUGAACACUGGAGGAUACUGGCACAAAGAAGAACGUUUAUACCACUAAGCGCGAGGUUUUUCUUGGAGGAACCAUUAUCUUAACCUUUUUAUUAGUAAGUUUGUCACAAGAUCCUAGAAUAGCCAAGGCUGUAAUCGACGAAAAGGUUAAAAUUCUGUAAUCAGUUCAAAGAAAAUAAAAUUUGUAUUGUGUCAUCAAAGAGAGUGCUGUUCUCUUCAUUUGCAAGGUUUCAAUAUCAAAAGUCCCCUUAGACCAUAAAAGGGGAGCUAAAAAUAGGUUUCUUAUCAAUCAGUUAAGAAUGUGCAGCCAAAGCAGAUAUUGUGCCGCGCAGGCGUGGAAAACGUCGAGUAGCGAAAUAUGACAAAACGGAGGAGAAAUAACGAGAAAUCAGGGUUAUACGCUGAGUAAAGCAUCACAGGUUAACAACAAAUCACCGUCAACCUCUUCGAGAAUUGUAGGCAAUCAAAAUGAGUGGCGGAUACCAUCCCCCAGAGCCAAACGCGCGCAAAUAUUGCGAAGUAGUCCAAAUAGGCAUCGAAGACGACACUGCUGAAGUAACGCUUUUCUACACUCCAGAAAGAGAGUUUCAAGUAAGCAACGGAUACGUAUUGGAAGAUAAAGAGGAGAGCAAUUACGGCCGCCGAUACCGCAAAUUGAAACUCGUUACUUCAAAAGCUAACGUGAUUGAAGUCAGGCGAUAUAGCAACGGAGAAUAUCACGUGGACGCCGACGGGAGAAUUUUUAACUUCGAUGGAAGAAAAGUUGAAGUGUAAAAGAGGAUUACUCAAGAAAGACUUCGAUUGACAAGUGAUACAGCCCAAAGAUCUUGAUUCUAAUUUAACGUAAAUAAAAAAUCAUGUUAACUGCCAUAAAUUGUCAAAAUGUUUAUACAUUUUCGUGCAUUGGUGAAACUAUUGUGACAAUAACAGGCAACCAAUUCACUAAGCCCCAAAAGCCACCAAUCACUAAAUAGUGGGAGGUACCCAGACACUAAAAAAAAGGUUUUAAAAUGUUCUCGGCGAAGCAAAAAUAAAGCAUUCCUGCCAUUCUAGUUUGUUCAGAGUCAGUUUUCUCCUUUCCGUAGCUCCGCCUUCUGAAUAUUAUUUAACCUUUCACGCGUAACACACACGUUGACGAUGAUUGAAAAAUCAAGUCAAGCAAAUGACCGAUUUCGAUAAUCGCACCACAAACGAUUACUAAGCGGACUGCAUUACCUUUGUUAGGAAAAAGAUAUACUAGAAGAUAUAUGUAAACAAAUCUUGAGUUAAAAUCUGGUUGUGAGAUAGUGACAAAGAGAAAUUGACCCACUGUAAGAAUGUAAACAAACGAACAACACAAGCGCAAGAGUGCGAGGGAAAUUACGUCGCUCGGGAAGCGCGCGCGAACGAGGAAGCGAAACCGAAAGCUCGCCAAUCCCAAACAAAGGGCUGGAUAAAACAACUGAGCGAAGCAGCUUUCUCCCAGUGUAUUCGUAUUACGCGCAUUCGACGUUGCCUCCAAGACAGUGCGAACCUUCUCUCUCAGUUUUUUUAAGAGAAAUGUCAGAUUUUGAUCCAGUGGAGCCUAGGCAUGGUGAGAAAGUAUCCCUUGGAAAAUACUGCUGCCAUAACGAUGCGGAUGCCAUACUACUGUACUCUCUGGAUAGAAAAAAGUUCGAAGCAGAGUAUGGACGAAUAACUAAGGAAAAAACCUCUGGGAGAAGCACAACGGUGAAACUGCGAUCGGACAGUGGAUGUACUUAUAAAGUCACUCGGCAUGGCAAAGGAAGUAAGUGAAGAUUCACUGAUUUCAACCUUUUUAUAGGGAGUUACGCAUUUGUAACGUUGUCGCAGUCAACAGAUAACGCAAUUUCACAUGAUCUCUUUCAGCGUCUCAUUAUGUUAGUGGUCUGAACUAUCGUCAGCUGAAUACUUUCGAAUUCAUUACCUUAGAAUAUUUUUAUCAUUUGCGUAACCCGUUCAUGUUAAGUGCUUCUUCUUGUUCCUCUUCAUCAAAGAUUAUAGCACUGGUUGGCGUACCUGGAAGAAGGUUGAGACUGUUUCCUAUUAACUGUGACUGUUCAAGAGCACUGGUAGAACCACUCUGUUAAACACUGGGAAAUUGUUGAUUUUAAACGAACCAAGAGCCUAAUAAAGUUUGUAGCAUGGUAUAAAACAUAUAUGAAUCUUAAUGCAAUUUUGCUGAGCAAUGCUAGAGCCACUCUGUUAAACGCUGAAAAAUUGUUGAUUGUAAACGAACCAAGAGCCUAAUAAAGUUUUUAGCAUGGCAUGAAACACAUAUGACUCUUAACAUAAUUUUGCUGGUUGAACAUACAAUGCGUAAAAGAAGCGUGUUCACGCCAAAGCAGAGUUAAUGAACUCCACGCUUACUCUAUCUUCGAAGGACACAAAUAUUGUAAAUAAAAGCAAAUGGAUCGAGCGGUACUUUCCGGAAAUUUUUUGCCAUUAGAAUUCAGGAUCAGUAAAGGAUUUAUCUUUCGAGUGCAGCUGAAAGGUAGAAACCGACGAUUAACGAUCGUAACUUAAACAGGCCACACAUUAAAUAUCAGUCGCCACCGCGGUGGAGGUAAUUGCUAUCACAUAUUUGCGUAUGCUUUUAAUCGGGGUCAACAAUGAAAUGAAAUCUUGAGCGGCUACAACAAUCCGUUCCAAUGUCAAAAAAGGUUCCCUUAGAUCAUAAAAGGGGAGCUAAAAAUAGGUUUCUUAUCAAUCAGUUAUGAAUGUGCAGCCAAAGCAAAUAUUGUGCCGCGCAGGCGUAAAAAAAGUUAAGCUGCGAAAUACGACAAAACGAAGGAGAAAUAACGAGAAAUCAGGGUUAUACGCUGAGCAAAGCAUCACAGUUAAACAACAAAUCAUCGUCUAUUUCCUCGAGAACCGUGGGCAAUCAAAAUGAGUCACGGAUAUCAACCCCGAGAGCCAAACGUGCCUAGAUACUGCGAAGUAGUCCAAAUAGGCAUCGAAGAGGAUACUGCUGAAGUAACACUUUUCUACACUACAGAAAGAGAGUUUCAAGUAAGCAACGGAUACGUAUCGGUGGAUAAAGAAGAGAGCAAUUAUGGCCGGCGAUACCGCAAAUUGAAACUUGUUACUUCAAAAGCUAACGUGAUAGAAGUCAGGCGAUAUGGCGACGGAGGCAGGAAUUUAUGAUCAUCAUAGAGGUUUCAACGUUAUUUGCGCAAACAUUGAUACACCAAUUCGUUUCUUUUCCGCCAAGAAUAUCACUUGGACGCCGACGGGAGAUAUUACAACAUCGAUGGAAGCAAAGUUGAAGUGUAAAAGAGGAUUGCUCAAGAAAGACUUCGAUUGACAAGAGAUACAGCCCACAGAUCUUGAUUCUAAUUUAACGUAAAUAAAAAAUCAUGUUAACUGCCAUAAAUUGUCAAAAUGUUUAUACAUUUUCGUGCAUUGUUGAAACUAUUGUGACAAUAACAGGCAACCGAUUCAGCAAGCCCCAAAAGCCACUAAUCACUAAAUAGUGGGAGGUACCCAGACACUAAAAAAAAAGUUUUAAAAUGUUCUCAGCGAAGCAAAAAUAAAGCAUUCCUGCCAUUCUAGUCUGUUCAGAGUCAGUUUUCUCCUUUCCGUAGCUCCGCCUUCUGAAUAUAAUUUAACCUUUCACGCGUAACACGCACGUUGACGAUGAUUGAAAAAUCAAGUCAAGCAAAUGACCGAUUUCGAUAAUCGCACCACAAACGAUUACUAAGCGGACUGCAUUACCUUUGUUAGGAAAAAGAUAUACUAGAAGAUAUAUGUAAACAAAUCUUUAGUUAAAAUCUGGUUGUAAGAUAGUGACAAAGAGAAAUUGACCCAACGUAAGAAUGUAAACAAACGAACAACACAAGCGCAAGAGUGCGAGGGAAAUUACGUCGCUCGGGAAGCGCGCGCGAACGAGGAAGCGAAACCGAAAGCUCGCCAAUCCCAAACAAAGGGCUGGAUAAAACAACUGAGCGAAGCAGCUUUCUCCCAGUGUAUUCGUAUUACGCGCAUACGACGUUGCCUCUAAGACAGUGCGAACCUUCUAUCACAGUUCUUUUAAGAGAAAUGUCGUAUGAGGGAGAAGAGCCUAGGCUACGUGAGGAAGUAUCCCUUGGAACACGUUUAUGGCAUAUCAAUCCGGAUGUCAUACUACUGUACUUUCUGGAUAGAAAAAAGUUCGGAGUCAAGUAUGGACAAAUAAAAGCGGAAGAAACCUCUGGGACAGACACAACGGUGACACUCAAAUCGAAAAGUGGAUGGAAUUAUGAAGUAACACGGCAUGGCAAAGAAGAUUAUAGCACUAGUUGCGGUACCUGGAUGAAGGUUCAGACUGUUUCCUAUUAACUGUGACUGUUCAAGAGCACUGCCAGAGCCACUCUGUUAAACAUUGGAAAAUUGUUGAUUUUAAACGAACCAAGAGCCUAAUAAAGUUUGUAGCAUGGUAUAAAACAUGUAUGAAUCUUAAUGCAAUUUUGCUGCGCACUGCUAGAGCCACUCUGUUAAACACCGAAAAAUUGUUGAUUGUAAACGAACCAAGAGCCUAAUAAAGUUUGUAGCAUGGCAUGAAA